rnacentral:snRNA from 1 species
GUGUUCAAUUCAGCAGCACAUACACUAAAAUUGGAACAAUACAUAAAAGAUUAGUAUGGCCUCUGUGCAGGAUGACAUACAAAUUUACGAAGGGUUCCAUAUUUUA